AGAUGGUGAGAUCCUUGAGGACAGAAGCCAUGUUUUAUUUAUCUUUGUAUCCUUCUGCCUGAUAAAUAAUUGAAUUGCCCAGGGUUGGAACUGACUAGAUUUGGCUCAUGGAAUUCCAGAUGCUAUGAAGAGAAGAAUAUGGAAUGAUGGGGUUGCUGACUUCAAGUCUGGAGAUCAGUCAG